CAGCAGGCAGGCAGGCAGACUCACUGCGGGGGUCCUGGCGACCUUGAUUCCUCCACCCCCCGGAGAGCCCCGCCCUUAGGAAACCCCCGGUCAAAACCGAAAGUUAAAACCUCCGCCUAGCGAUACCGCCGCGGACUAUUCCCUGACAUGAAGCUCUAAGAUUAUUACUGUUUUGUGAAGACAUAAAGUUGGAUCUUUUAAUAACUUAAAUCAUUAUAUGCCAUCUACUAAAUAUGUAUGAACAUGACUACAGCCAAGAAAUUACUGAAGACUGAAUUGCCAAGCAACAUUGUGAUGCAAGAAGAAAGCUUAUGGAUUUAGAAUGAAAUAUGUUCAUUUCAACCUAAAACAGGCAAUCAUGCUGAGCUACCUAAUCUAGGAAGAGGUCUUGGGAUUCAGUGAUGAUGCUCCAAACCAUUGAGUCCUUACCAACCACAUAGGAGACCUGAAUUAAACUCCUAGCUGCUGACUUUGGAAACUGGCCCAGCUUCCACACAUCCGGAGAAUGAAGCAGGUUCUUCAGGAAAGAAUAUAUACGAACAAGAUCACUGCAGCAUAUAAAUAUAUUUUUGUCAAUUUGUGAGCCACCAGCAGAACCCUUUAUUCCUGCACUUCAUUCCUCUAAAACUGAAUAAAGUCUAACUUUGUGUAUACUAGAUAUCUACAGAUGACACUCAGCAUUAUCAUUUCUUUACUAUUCUAGAUGACAUUUUACCAGGGACUUAUUGCUUCAUUGCUGAAUGACUAUCUGGAUACAUUUCAAACAACAGUCUUGUAAAUAUCUAUCUAUCUAUCAGCUAUCAAUUAUCAUCUAUUUUCUUGUAAAGUUAAAGUCAGAUUAAGUCGCAAUAAAUUGCUAGUGAUGUUUGUGAACUAUGAUUAAUAAAAUAUUCAUUUAAUAAGUAACCUUUAUCCAGAAAGUCUUUAUUUCUAGAAGCCCACAGAUAUAUUGAAAAGAAU